GUACUUGGCCGACGCUGCGCUCCUCCACUCUCCAAUCCCCACCUCACUCCGCUUGUGCGGCCGCGUGGAGGCUGCCUGCCGCGGCGCUCCGGCUGCGCUCCGAUCCACGCCAAGAGCAAGGACCCCAGCGCCCCCCGCCGCGCGGCUCUGACGCGAUCGGCGCCGUCGAGCCACCCCGGAGCAUCCCCUCGCGUGUGAAGCUACCCAGUUUGCUCCAGGAUUGUGUCCAUUUAAGAAUAUGGCUAGAAAGAGGAACCCAAUUGUCUAUCUGGACGUAUCCAUAGGUGAUGAACUAGAUGGAAGAAUGAUCUUUGAGUUAUUUGCUGAUGUUGCUCCCCUGAUAUCUGAGAACUUCAGAGCUUUAUGCACAGGUGAGCUGGGAAAGACUAAGAAGCCAUUAUGCUACAAGGGGUCAACCUUCCACCGUGUCAUCAAGGGGUUCAUGGCACAAGGAGGUGACUUCGCAAAAGGAAAUGGGUCUGGUGGAGAAAGCAUAUAUAGUGGGAAAUUUGCAGAUGAAGCUUGUGUCCUACGCCAUGAUGAUCGUGGUCUCUUGACAACAGCAGAUACUGGCUCCCAAUUCUGUAUUACUUUCAAGCCUAAUUCUCAUCUUGACAGGGUCUUUGGAUCUGCACUGUUGCCUAAUUCAAAUUGAACAACCCUGCUUGUAGAAAUAAAACACACUGUUUUUGGCAAGCUUGUUGUUGGAAAUGAUGUGUUGAAGAGGAUCGAGCAAGUUGAUGUGCAUGAAUCUGAUUCGACUCCCGUUUUUCCGGUUAGGAUAGUAGAUUGUGGGGAGCUCACAGACCGCAAACAACAAGAUUCUGUGACCACUGAAAAUGAUAAAAAGAGGGCUGCCAAAUCAAAAUUGAUGAAAGAUAUAUCUUCCGAUGAGGAAAGUAAUGAAGGACAACACAAGGGGCGUCAUAAAAAGUCAUCAAAAAGGAAAAGGAAGAAGAGGAGAUAUUCUUACUCGGAGUCAGAUAGCUCUUCUGAGUCAGAAACUGAAUCAUUGGAUUCUGAGAGCGAUUCUGAUACUUACUCAAGUGACUCAUCUGAUGUCAGUAGCUCAAGUGAUGACAGACGAAGGCGCAGGAAAAGACAAUCAAAGAAAAAUAAGCGCAAGCGUUCAAGAAGAAAGCGCGACCAUAGGCGUGAGAGAAGGCGUAGGAAGCGUGAUAGGAAAGCAAAACAGAAGUCCAAAAGGUUGAUAGAGAGUGACAGUGAAUCUGAAAGUACAAGUGAUAGCAGCUCUGAGGAUGCCAGAAGGAAGCGACACCGUCGUGGGCGAAAGUCGAAGGCAUCGUCUCAAGUUUCUGCGGAAAAUCUUGCUGCGGUAGCUGUUUUGAAGGAAGCCACAUCAACUCAACAAAUGAGUGGAAUGCCAAGGAGUCCGGCACAAGAAGAUAACUCCCCCCUACAAAAUGGGGAGAUCGAUACAAAUGACGUUAAUGAAUCAAAAACUGAAAGGAAUGCAGCUAUAAUGCCUGUUCUAACUGGCAAUCGAAGCAAAUCUAGGUUUCCUAUACUUUUUCACACAUCAUUCUUUGUGCUUACUGCUUCUGCAAGCGGUGUUUCAUCUGACAUUGAUAAGCAGGAGCCAGAGCAUGAGUGCUAAUCACUCAAUGAGCAAGAGUAUGAGUAUCAGUCCAAGGAGAAGCCCGAUUAAAAGGUCAAUUACCACCCCGAAGAGAUCAGCUAGCAGGAGCCCUGUUCACUGUAGUCGCAGUAGAAGCCCUGUCCAUGCUCCCAAAAGAAGUAAAAGCCGGAGUCCAGCUAGACAGCGGAGCAUCACCAGGAGCCCUGCUAGAAGAAGCCCCAGCAAGAGCUCACCCAGAGAUGCAAGCAGAAGCCCGACUCCCCGCGUAAGCAGGAGUCCUGUUAAAGGUCAAAGAAGCAUUAGCAGGAGCUCAGCUAGGUCCAUGCAACGAAGAACUCCAAGCAGGAGCCCAGAGAGAACUCAUCUACGUAAAAGUGUCAGCACAAGCCCACCUGUGGAGAAGAGAAGAAGCAUUACGCGGACCUCUGCAAGAUCUCCAUUGCGAAGUGUUAGCCGGAGCCCUGCUAGGUUUUCAGUGAGCCCACAUAGGCCUUCAAGGAGAAGCCCAAUCAGAAGUCCUCGAAGGAACAUACGUAGAAGCGUGAGCAGGAGCCCUGUGAGAAUACCUAGAAGAAAUGUGAGCAGGAGCCCUGUACGAGGUGGUCGACCUCGCAGAAACAUCAGCAGAAGUCCCAGUCCACCUCGCAGGGCAAUGUCACCCCCACCAAACAAUGGGCGGAGCCCAUCCAGGACCGGCUCUCCUGAUGGGUCUCCAAAACGCAUAAGGCGGGGACGUGGUUUUACUCAGCGGUACUCAUUUGCAAGACAAUAUCGCUCACCAUCUGCUGAUCGCUCGCAUCGAUAUGGUGGAAGAAGUGACCGUGACAGAUACAUGGGUUACCGGGGUUCCCGGCAUCGAUCACCUCCUCGACGGUAUAGAAGCCCUCCCAGAGGCAGACCAUCAUCACCAAGGUACAGGAGGAGGGGCCGAAGCACCUCACGCAGCCCUGUCCACAGAGACCGAGGAAGGGGAGGAGGUGGCUACAGCAGAAGCCCUGUACGGAGUCGCUCGCCCCCUGCUGGGAAACCUAGGUCACAUGGUGAGCGUGCAAGGUCAGUCUCCAGGAGCCGCCUGUCCUGGUCAAGAUCAAGGUCUCCACCACCAGCACAUGAUCGGUCUCCACCUGAUUCCCCAUCUCCUAAGCACGCAAGUGAUGAGAAGUCCCGGUCCCCGUCUCCAUCCCGGUCCCAGUCCCGGUCCCGCUCCCUGUCUGCAAGCCCUAGUCCUGGAGGCAAGAAAGGCCUGGUUUCGUACGGAGAUGGCUCCCCAGAUUCUGCUGGAAAGUAGGAAGCACUAGGCAGCGAAAUGUUUUUUCAACAUUUGGGCAGUUGGGUGUUGAUCGAUCCAUUGGCUCUAUGUUAAAUUGCUACUGGUAGUCUGUAGUGAAGCUGUUUUGAUACUCGAGGCCUUGGUGUUGCUAUCGCUGUAGAAGUGUUAAAUAUUUUGUUUGGGAUCAUCGCGGAUGUGGUUCAGUUAUCUUCAGACAAAUAAUCUGAGCCUAGCAUGUGUUUUUGUAGAACAUGUUGCACGGUUUCUAUUCGGUGGAAUUUAAUGAGAACCGUAAUAAUAUUUUGUUCUUGAUACCGA